CCAGGGAGUGUUCCUUUAAUAACCUUUAGAAGCGAGCAUGCAGGAAGGAAUGCACAGACGCUCCAGGCGAUGGAUUCGGGACAGGCCCACACUCGCUUUAGAAGAGCACAGUGUGUAUUACCUAGGGAGGACACCAUUCAACAAGUGCAGCAUUGCAGCACAUAUAAUAAGCAGCUACACACAACCAGAGCACAAUUAGCCAGCAGCACAGGAUGGCCUCUAGGCCUUUACAUCAGUAUGG